UUUUAGUAUUUAUUACCUUGUGAAGGCCCACCUACUCUCCUCCGUUGCCAUUGGAAAGAAGAAUACUUCAAUCCAAUCUUCCUUCCUUCCUUCCUUCGCCCACGCACCCACAAAACCCUGCUCCUAUUCCAAAUUUCUCCCUACAACUUCCCUCUUAUUUUACAAGAUUGGGCGCUAUUAGGCGCUAUUAUUCUUUUUUCUCACCACUAUUACCAUUUUCUUUAAUGCGCAAGGCUCAUAUUAUUGGAUUCUUCAGGAUCAAUGCAGGAACACCAUGAGAGCUUAACCCAGCGCUUUACUUUUCUCUUUUGAAGGGUGGGUUUCAAAAAAUAUAGGCGCGGGAGGAUUUUGAACAGAUUGGGCUUGUGGUUUUUGUGAUAAUAUUCUGGUUUUUGUCGAGCACCCAGAAUUGAAGGGUUCGAAUCCAAUGGAUCUGAAGAAGAUUUCCGAGGCAGAGGCGAAGAUAAAGGCUCUGGAAGCGGAGAAUACAGAGAUGAGGGAGACAUUAAAUGCUGUAAGGAAGCAAUUAGCAGUAUUUGAGAGCUUGAUUUUAUACCCGACUUAUUUCUAUGAGUUGGAGCGAUUUCCGGAGUCUCAGAAAGGCAUGGUGGAGUUAGCCAUGAAGGCCAACUUCUUCAAAACCUCCCAUGAAAUACGGCAGAAGACAGAGGAAAACAUGAAGGAAAUUUGGUCCAGGAGGAACUCGGGCUCCCAUUAAUAAGGAAAAAACAUGCUUCAAUUCUUGUCCCUUUUUCGGGUCAUCACAAAAGGUGUUUGUGGCCCCCUGACCCUGAAUGUUGAACCUGUACAGAACAAAUUUAACAGAAAAAAGGGUUUCAUGGCUGCAGUGUUUUGUUGAUUAGAGGUAUGGCUUAAGGAUUUUAUUUUUAUGUAAAAUUUGGGCUACAUUGGAUUGUUUGUUUGCUCUCUUUCCUUGUCUGGUUAAAUGCAGAGUUUUGCUGUGAUUUUGGUUA